rnacentral:lncRNA from 1 species
GUUGAUUUAACCAUAGUAUAAAGGUCUUCUCUGUUUCCAGCCUGGAGUCUUAGAGUAGCUUAGACUUGAUAUAGAAAACAGAGCUGAGCUGAUUUUUCUGGGUCUAUGCAGUACUGCUUUGAACCUAGAAAUGGGAAGAUGGCCACUCUUGCCAGCUCUGUUGACACUUGGAAGUACCGUUGGUCCUGAAGGGUGAUGUUCUUGGCUUGGUCCUUGACAUUCUCAUAGAAGAUGUCAUAGUUCCUCUUUCUCCCUUUGCAGGCAUGGACCAAGAAAAGGCCGUUAGAGGACACAGUGAGGAGGCAGCCAUCAGCAAGCCAGGAAGAGAGACCUCACCGGAGACCAAAUCAACCAGCACCUUGGAAUUUCUGGGUUCAUGAUGUUAAUAGGAGUUCAUUGGUAGCCACAGGCUGAUUUGGCUACUUGGGGAUUUGAUAGUAAUAACAAAUAUGAAAACAUCUCGCAACUUUGAGAUCAGUUUUCCCAGCUUCCACAACAACCCACAAACAACUGAAGAGGUUUAUAUCCAGGCUAUUUCUAGACCACAGCAAGCAAAUCCCUGAGCUGCUGCUCUCCUUGGAGAUCUCCGCCAAAAAAGAGCUGCUUGGGACACGAGGCCCAGCCUAGGGUGAGGGCUGCAAACCCCAGGCCGUGCCUCUUUCCCUGUCUCCUUCCUCAUCUGACUUCUGAGAUAUUGCACCCACCCUUUCAGCAAACCCCGGCCUCAGCCCAGCUGGUUGUGUGGUUUUCUCUAGUUUCCCUGUGGGGCUUUAAACUCAGAAUUCUGGGCUCAGUUUUAGCCGCUUCUGUGAAUGGGCCACCUCAUGCAUCUGCUCAUUCAUUCCUUCAUCAGAUGUUUUGUAAGUGGCUUCCAGUCUUCUGCUUUCUGUGGCCUAGGGAGGCAAAGACGAAUAGAAUGCUGUCCAGUCUGAGAAUCUCACAGGCAGGUGAACAAACAGGAACAAUAGAUGUGGUAUACUACAGUGAACAUAUGUAUAUAUAUGUACCAUAGCGGCCCUAAUGGAGAAGAGGCUAGUUCUAUGGGGUGAAUUCAGGAGGUGAACCUUGGGCGUUAAAUGUAUUGACAUGUGUUCAAGUGAAUUUAGGCAAUAUUAUUGCAAGAUAAGUAGACAUGUUGGUGUGGUGGGCAGAGUUUGCCUGGUCCAUGGAUACUGACGCCCUUUCUUUCUCACAAGAGAACACUAAUUUGGUUGAGACCUCUUGUUGCUUCAUGGUUUUCUCAAGAAAGAGGGUCCAUCCUCAAUCCCAGGGGUAUUAAUGUUGAUUAAACUAAGAUAAUUAUAUAUUCAUAAAGAUUGUAAGACUUAACAAGAUGAUACCUGCUCAGGGUGAGAGAAAGCAUGGUGGUAGUGAUUUCCUAGAAAUCUGUCUGGGAAAUAUUUUCCAACCUAAAAGAAAAAGACAUUAAAAAAAAAAUACUCCUUCUUACCACUGGAUAUUGAGAUUGUGGUGCUACAGCAGCCAUUUUGUGCCAAUAAGGCAAAACCCAAGAAAAUUGCAAAGAUGCUAACCUUAUCAUCG